AAUCCACAGUAUCCACAAGUUGACAGUAUCAAAAUUAUCAGAAUCAAAAUCAAAAUCAUAAAAGCCCAUACAGAAGCGCAAGAGACACAACACAAAGGCCAUAAAGACAAAAUAAAAUGAAGGUUUUUGGAGUCAAGAUAAGCUGGGAUACUCACCAGCUUGUGUCCUUUGUGAUAAACCCAAAUCAAUUCUUGAAGGAAAAUGCGAGCUCAGAGAGAGAGUUUGUGCCUGCCUUGUGGUAUGUUGAAACUGAAAGAGAAGGGUGGGUCGCAGGGAGAAGCAACCAGCAGCAGGUAAAAGAAGCCUUCACUGAAAAAUUGAUGCCUAGAAUGCCUCCAGUCCCUAAGACUCAAUUCUGGUUGACUUGUGAUGGUUAGUGAAAGACCAAUCCAUCAAGGACGGCAAAUCUUUGAUUUCCGAAGAAAAUAAUUUUGCCUUAGGCUUCUUCAGCCCCAGCAACUCCAGCUAUUGGUAUCUUGGUAUCUGGUAUG